UGAUUAGAAAUUAUUUAUUUGCUUUGCCCGUUAGGUCAAAUGAGGGCGCUGUUUAAGUUAACUGGUCAAACUUCCGCGAAUUUGUUGAGGGGUUAUGAGGAUAUAGAAAUAGUACGUUCAUCAGCCAAGUAAGGGGAUAUUUUGACGAUAAUAGAUAACUAAGGGGUUCUAUCUCUCAUGAAGUGCUGUAUUCUCAGAAGUAAAUUUCUGUUAUUGUAAAAUAUGUGAAUGUAGGAUAGAGCAGAUGAUGUUUUAAUCGUGUGCGCCUUAAUACUAAACAACUGUUUACGUAAGCGGGUUUGGCGGGCACUGUCUCCGAGGUCUGCGUUUCUGACAGCUGCAGAAAGCUUGCUUUAGCAACUAUUAUCAGACCAAUUUAGCCUGACAGCCGAUGGCUGGAAUGUAUUACUAGACACCAGAGGAAGGAGAGACAGCCCUGGAGCCCGUGCACUGGCUGGUUUUUUUGUGAUGAAUGGGAGCAGAAACGACUAAUAAAUUUGAUGUGAUUGAAUCAUCACCCCUGAACCUCGACUCCA